rnacentral:piRNA from 1 species
UCUCACAGAGAGUGUUAUUAAACCAAGA